CCUCAUGUCAGACACAUUAAAACAAAAUCUCCUAAAACCUCUCAAUUAUAAACAAAGCAAAACUAUACCUCAAUGAAAAUGCACUCCGUACUCUAUACUGCACCUUGGUACUCCCAUACCUUACAUACUGUGUUGUAUACUUCUUUGUACUCUAUACUGCACCGUGGUACUUCCAUACCUUACAUACUGUGUUGACGCAUGGAGGAAUACUUACCACAACACAAUUCAUCCUCUAAUUCAGAACGUUGUUUUUUUUUAGAACAUCCUCAUAAUCUGUUUAUGCAAUCAAAGUUGUUCAAAUUUGAUGACCUUGUUAAAUAUAAUACAUUAAUGAUCUUAUUUAAAGCAUUUAACAAAGUAUUGCCGCCUGAUCUACAACGUUUUUUUGUAAGAGGAGUGCAGGCUUAUAACUUGAGAGGCUUUUGGAUAUAUCUCAUUGCCGAAAGCUUAAACCACUCGUAAAUGUUUCUGUGUGUUUGUAUGCGGAGUAAAACUAUGGAACAAACUGGACUUACAACACAAGCAAUGCCAAACUAUUAAUCGAUUUCAAUUGUUAUACAAACAUUGGGUUGGGUUGAAAUAUAGAGAUGAUGGUCUUUAAUUUGACCUGCUGUUGUACUCUUGUCUCAAAGUGUUAACAUGUGCUCAAUGUUUCCUUACCAUUAUUGCCAUGUUGUCUAUUACCAUUGUUGGUAUAUUCAUUCGACUUAGACUUAGACUUAGACAAACUUUAAUGAUCCACAAGGGAAAAUGUUCAACACAGUAGUUCAGUUACAAUGAUGGAGUGUAAGGAUGGAAAUGACAAUAAAGGUAUAAAUAGACUAGAUACAGCAAUAUAAAAUAUAACAUAUCUGCGAAUAUAUACAAUGUAUACUUAAUAUGUGUACAAUAUAUUAUAUAUACAGAUAUAUUAUGCCUAUAACAUAUAUACAAUAUAUACCAAUUACCAUGUACAAUAUUACAGUAUAUGUGGCAGCCCCAGCAUAAAAUAGAAUAGAGAGUAGAUCCAGCAGAAAAUAGAAUAUAGACAUUAAAAACAAAGAGAAGUAGCUGACAUAGAAGCUGUCAGGUAAUGGACGGAUAUUAUCUAUUGCUGUAUGGGGAGUGAUUAUACAGCUGGAUGGAGUGCGGAAUGAAGGAGUUCUUGAAUCGCACAGUGCGGGAACGAAGCUGAAGGAGCCUGUUGGAGUAUGAACUCCGCUGGAGUAUGAACUCCGCUGUCCCUCAAUUGUCUGGUGGAGUGGGGGAGCAGGAUUGCAGUGUUUCUGACAGGUCAGGCAUCUAUUUGUGGUGGUGUGGUCGGCCGCCGGGGGAGGUGGCAGCGGUGGCAGCGGCGGCGAUGACCAAGAAGAACACCGGAGUUGGAAUAUAAUUACAUAUUUAUAUGCCGGCCUGAAUCGGGCGGUGGAGGCAUGUGGAGAGGGGCGUGUCCUACGCGCCCCGUGCGGGCGGAGCAUGUGCGGCAGCCGGUCGUGAAGCAGCAAUCAGCGUUGGAAACCAUGAGCGGGGCUGGCAAACUGGGAGUGAGAGCCAGACGGAAGAGCCCGCUGUUCAGCGUGAAGAGACAGAAGCUGAGAAGCUGAAAAGGAACUCUGAACGAUAAACUGUUGUAAAAAUAAUAAAAGAGUGUAACCCACU